rnacentral:rRNA from 1 species
AGUGAACGCUGGCGGUAGGCCUAACACAUGCAAGUCGAACGGCAGCACAGUAAGAGCUUGCUCUUACGGGUGGCGAGUGGCGGACGGGUGAGGAAUACAUCGGAAUCUACUUUUUCGUUGGGGAUAACGUAGGGAAACUUACGCUAAUACCGCAUACGACCUACGGGUGAAAGCAGGGGAUCUUCGGACCUUGCGCGAUUGAAUGAGCCGAUGUCGGAUUAGCUAGUUGGCGGGGUAAAGGCCCACCAAGGCGACGAUCCGUAGCUGGUCUGAGAGGAUGAUCAGCCACACUGGAACUGAGACACGGUCAAGAAUCCUAAGGGAGGCAGCAGUGGGGAAUAUUGGACAAUGGGCGGAAGCAUGAUCCAGCCAGACCGCGUGGGUGAAGAAGGCCUUCGGGUUGGAAAGACCGUUUGUUGGGAAAGAAAAGCAGCAGGUUAAUACCCAGCUGUUCUGACGGUACCGAAAGAAUAAGCACCGGCUAACUUCGUG